rnacentral:lncRNA from 1 species
GAGUACAUCUACGUGGACCCCAUGCAGCUGCCCUAUGACUCCACGUGGGAGCUGCCGCGGGACCAGCUUGUGCUGGGACGCACCCUCGGCUCUGGGGCCUUUGGGCAGGUGGUGGAGGCCACGGCUCAUGGCCUGAGCCAUUCUCAGGCCACGAUGAAAGUGGCCGUCAAGAUGCUUAAAUGUGAGUAGUCCUUGGAGCCCUCCACAUCUGGGCCUUCACCUCUCCCUGCCCCUCCCCACACACUUAGCCUCUCCCAGGGUGGCCUGAUGCUGAUUUGCAGGCACUAGAGGGGCCAUCACACUGCAGCAGGCACUGCUCCCGAGUCUGGGUCUGGUUUGGGAAAGAGCGUUCCUCUCCCUGGCCUCCUCGGCCUGCUUCCCCCUACCCUGGCCUCUUCCCCUCCUCAGAGUGUGGGUGCUCACCCCCGCCAGGCUGCCUGGGUCUUGCAGCACAGGGCGGGGCAGAAGAGUCAGAAUAGGCUCCUGUGGUGGGGCCUCCAUGGAGCCUCCAUGACUGGGCCUGGCCUGGGGCCCCCAUUUUCCUCAGCCACAGCCCGCAGCAGUGAGAAGCAAGCCCUUAUGUCGGAGCUGAAGAUCAUGAGUCACCUUGGGCCCCACCUGAACGUGGUCAACCUGUUGGGGGCCUGCACCAAAGGAGGUACCGAGCCCACUGCCCCAGAGGCCUCAGGGAAAGUGCCCACCACCAAGGCCAGGCCCCGCCUACCCCCCCCUCAGGCC